AACGCACAUUGCGCCUCCUGUUACAGGGAGGCAUGCCUGUCUGAGCGUCAUUUAAACCCAAUGCCGAUGGCAUACUUUGUCCUCGGCGUGUUGGGCCCUCGUCGGACCUGGCGUCGACGUGGCCUUGAAUCCAUUGGUCGAGUUGAGCGGACGAGAUCCUCUGGGACAGAGACCGUUCACGAGACCCUAAAGAUGUCUGAAUUUUGACCUCAGAUCAGGUAGGAACACCGCCUGAACUUAA
rnacentral:misc_RNA from 1 species